rnacentral:lncRNA from 1 species
ACGAAGCGUUUACACUGGGCGAAGGUGUUCUUCAUCUCCAGCGCUUCCCACUAUACGGACACCAGCGCAAAAGAGCAGCAGAUCCUCAUCCACACGACUGCAUAUCAGCGUAACGGAGCCUCUGAGGUUUUAAUCUUAAGGAGAUGGGACUUGGGCUUCUGCCCAAAGGAGAACGUUUCCAACUCUGCCCCUAUAGCUGUCACCGGUUUGCCGUGAGGCCCCGUAUCCCCCUCUAAUGGUGAUGCCAGGAUCCAUAAUGUUCCUGACAGCUAGAGUGGGAAGUGGGCCGUGUUCCCUCACUGCAGCUGAGAGAGUGUGGACUGGAGCGCUGCCACAUGCGGGAUGGGAUUUCAGGAGCACUAACCCGACUGGGACUGCAGGAGCAGAAUGAGCCGGUCCUGCCCAAUUCCAUUACAGCCUCCCCUCGUCCUGCCUCAUGCAUCUCCACUCCAUCCUGUCACCUGAUGUGAGCACUGUACGGCUGGCUGUCUGAUCAGAGAAUGUUUUACCCUUCUGUGAAUAGACUAACCUCUUCAUAGUUCAUAUGACAUUAAAAAAGCCUGGAUUGGCAUAUACUCAUCCAAAAUCAGCGUUCAGACUCUUUUGGCUGGUUAAUUGUGGCUAAGGCUUGAUGCAUUUAACUUUUUCGUGCUAUUCCCAUCACAGUGAUCUUCCGCUCAGCAUCUCCCAAACUAAACACAGGAAGCUGUGUCACAGCAAUGCCAUACAUUUCUCUUCCUUUCAGCGGCAACAGUGGCACAAUUUAUAACUGCUGCCACUCUCAAGUCUGAAAGAGAGAGAAAGUUCAAUGUUGUGUGCAGAGGCAUUAAGUGGGCAGAUAAAGGAACACUGUGUCAUUAGUCAUUAUGUAAAUAAAGUUUUAGGUAGUAAUUUAUAAGCA